rnacentral:rRNA from 1 species
AGGGUUUGAUUCUGGCUCAGGACGAACGCUGGCGGCGUGCCUAACACAUGCAAGUCGAACGGAAAAUUGAGCUUCGGUUCAAUUUUUAGUGGCGAACGGGUGAGUAACGCGUAGGCAACCUGCCCUUUAGACGGGGACAACAUUCCGAAAGGGAUGCUAAUACCGGAUGUGACGCUCCUAUCGCAUGACGGGAGCGUGAAAGAUGGCCUCUACAUGUAAGCUAUCGCUAAAGGAUGGGCCUGCGUCUGAUUAGCUAGUUGGUAGUGUAACGGACAACCAAGGCGAUGAUCAGUAGCCGGUCUGAGAGGAUGAACGGCCACAUUGGGACUGAGACACGGCCCAG